rnacentral:sRNA from 1 species
CUCAGGCUUAGGCUUAGGCUUGGGUUUAGGGUUAAGCCUAGGCUUAGGCUUAGG